AUUGAACGCUGGCGGCAGGCUUAACACAUGCAAGUCGAGCGGGGGAGGUUGCUUCGGUAACUGACCUAGCGGCGGACGGGUGAGCAAUACUUAGGAAUCUGCCUCUUAAUGGGGGACAACAUCUCGAAAGGGAUGCUAAUACCGCAUACGCCCUACGGGGGAAAGCAGGGGUGCACUUGUGACUUUGCGUUAGUAGAUGAGCCUAAGUCGGAUUAGCUAGUUGGUGGGGUAAAGGGCUACCAAGGCGACGAGCUGUAGCGGGUCUGAGAGGCUGAUCCGCGGCACUGGGAGUGAGACACGGCCCAGACUCCUACGGGAGGAAGCAGUGGGGAAUAUUGGACAAUGGGGGGAACCCUGAUCCAGCCAUGCCGCGUGUGUGAAGAAGGCCUUAUGGUUGUAAAGCACUUUAAGCGAGGAGGAGGCUCGUUUGGUUGAUACCCAAGAUGAGUGGACGUUACUCGCAGAAUAAGCACCGGCUAACUCUGUGCCAGCAGCCGCCGUAAAAC
rnacentral:rRNA from 1 species